GAGAGGAAGGGUUAGCAUAGAAUUUUCUUCUCGUGGGCAGCGUUGGGGUAAGAAGAGCAAACCAUGUUUCUUAGAUUGUACAUGGGAUGCGCAAGGGUUCCAAUCAAACACUGAUCCCUCCCUCGCUGUGCUGACCCCUAACACCAGUGACUGAGCACGCCAUGAUGCCUGUGAAUUCCACACGUUUGUACACAAUCAGCAGCAUGAAAUAAACACUAUCUGAAAUGGAGAAAUCCUGUAAGUAAAUGUAAUCCUAACUCAGCAGCCACAGUGACACUUCUGAUGGACAGAAGCAGGAAUGAUCAUCAGAUGCAGCCUCUGGAUGAGAAGCAAAAGUCCCGUUGCACAGCGAGAAUGGGCCACCUGCAUGAGACUGACACCUUUUGGUAAAACUUUCAGCAGCUGGGAACAGUGCACUGCACUGUUCACAUCGCCUCCUCAUCUCCAAGCUGGCUUGCUGCAACACUGCUCCCCGCCAUUGACUCCUGGACUCCACCUGUGUAGUGGGUAGUAUCAAUUGUUAACCUGCUAGAAUCUACAAUCACUUGGGAGAUGAACC